rnacentral:rRNA from 1 species
UACGUAGGCAGCGAGCGUUGUUCGGAGUUACUGGGCGUAAAGCGUGCGUAGGCGGUUUUGCAAGUCUGGUGUGAAAUCUCCCGGCUCAACUGGGAGGGUGCGCCGGAAACUGCAAGGCUGGAGUAUGGGAGAGGUAGGCGGAAUUCCUGGUGUAGCGGUGAAAUGCGUAGAUAUCAGGAGGAACACCUGUGGUGUAGACGGCUUACUGGACCAUGACUGACGCUGAUGUACGAAAGCGUGGGGAGCAAACAGG